AUUUAAUGAAAACAUGUAAUUAGAAACUAAAAUUACAAAAAUUUAUUUUCACCCAAAAAAAUAGUUUCCGUCAAAAUUUUUCUCUCCACCAAAUUACUAGGAUAGAAUGGACCAUUCUCUUUAAGGCAACGAGAUCCUUCUAAAAAUACUCUGCUUCAAGUAAAUAUGUAUUGUCUCUGUUUCUCGCGAAAUCUCUGGUGUUCGUACAGCUCUUACCUCAAUCAUAUGCUUGGGCACUCAACCGGUGAUUAUGAAAUCUGAUUG
rnacentral:sRNA from 1 species